AAAUAAGAAACAAUUAUUGUAGUUAGUUUCGACCUAACCCAUUGAUGGAAACCCAUCCUUAUUUU
rnacentral:tRNA from 1 species